CGCGAACGGGUGAGUAACACGUGGGUAACCUACCCCGAUGACCGGGACAACCCGAGGAAACUCGGGCUAAUACCGGAUGUGCUCCUUGACCGCGAGGUCAAGGCGUAAAGAUAGCUUCGGCCUUCGCAUCGGGACGGGCCCGCGGCCCAUUAGCUUGUUGGUGGGGUAACGGCCUACCAAGGCGACGAUGGGUAGCUGGUCUGAGAGGACGAUCAGCCACACUGGGACUGAGACACGGCCCAGACUCCUACGGGAGGCAGCAGUGGGGAAUCUUGCGCAAUGCGCGAAAGCGUGACGCAGCAACGCCGCGUGGGGGAAGAAGGCCUUCGGGUUGUAAACCCCUUUCAGUUGGGACGAAGCUUCGCCGGUGAAUAGCCGGCUGGAGUGACGGUACCUUCACAAGAAGCCCCGGCUAACUACGUGCCAGCCGCCGCGG
rnacentral:rRNA from 1 species